rnacentral:lncRNA from 1 species
CAGAAAUACAGUACCAGAGUUUAGUGCUGGAUAGGGCAGAAGGCAGGACUCUGGAGAAUCUCAGUUUCAGCCUGUACUUUGCUACGACUCAGUUAUAACCUAAAAUGAAGCACUGAACCUGUCUAUCCUUUUGUUAUCUCGUGCACAAGCAACACAGAGUUCAAGUUCAUUUUUUUCUUUGACAUAAAGUAAUAAAGAAAGUACACAAAUUAUAAGCAAUAGUUUCACGUCAUGGGACAUUUCCUGAAGUUUGCUUCCUAGAGGGAAGUAUACUCUUUACCAAACCUACCCCCACUUUUUCCAAACCACAGAUUUUCUGUUUACUCAAAUGUACAAACUCUCAGAAUUUUGUCCCAGGGACAGUUCUCUACUGUUGCAACUCAUGACGACGCUUUGAUUUCCUCAGUAGUUUGGCAACUAUCAGAAAUGGUGUUUCCGGGAUGCCAUCUGCUCCUGCCUAGGAAAAUAAACAGAGACGCUCAGCGCCCCUAACUGCCUCUCCCCAGCUUCUGCUCCCCUCGCUAGGGUUCUUGCUAACACUGCAGCUCAGUGAAGCUAAACAAACCCCUUCCCAUUGUGACCCUGACCAGCUAGGCACAGAGUCCCACGCCCGCAUGCGGCACUUGCAUGCCACCUGGCGGCGACGGAAUCCAAUGCACAGCAUGAACAAAUGUGAAUCUCAUAUUUGGAGAAGCAUGCUGUGGUUAGACUUAAGCUGCUAUUCGAAGUGUCACAUGAGAGACUGGAGGCAUCCACACUGCAGUUCAUUACACUACAUUAAACUGAGGAGCAGGAAGAUGAAGAAUGAACAAGAUGAAAGAAAGAUUCUUUAACAAGAGAAAGGAAUAUAAACAUUUUUUACAG